rnacentral:rRNA from 1 species
UACGAGGGGUGCAAGCGUUGCUCGGAAUUAUUGGGCGUAAAGAGCGUGUAGGCGGUUUGGUAGGUCCGCUGUGAAAACUCGAGGCUCAACCUCGAGACGUCGGCGGAAACCAUCUGGCUAGAGUCCGGAAGAGGAGAGUGGAAUUCCUGGUGUAGCGGUGAAAUGCGCAGAUAUCAGGAAGAACACCCGUGGCGAAGGCGGCUCUCUGGGACGGUACUGACGCUGAGACGCGAAAGCGUGGGGAGCGAACAGG